rnacentral:tRNA from 1 species
GCCUGGGUGGCUCAGUCGGUUAAGCGUCUGACUUUGGCUCAGGUCACGAUCUCACGGUUCGUGAGUUCGAGCCCCACGUCGGGCU